UGUGAGGCAGCAGGUGGGAAUAUUGCACAAUGGGCGCAAGCCUGAUGCAGCCAUGCCGCGUGUAUGAAGAAGGCCUUCGGGUUGUAAAGUACUUUCAGCGGGGAGGAAGGUGUUGUGGUUAAUAACCACAGCAAUUGACGUUACCCGCAGAAGAAGCACCGGCUAACUCCGUGCCAGCAGCCGCGGUAAUACGGAGGGUGCAAGCGUUAAUCGGAAUUACUGGGCGUAAAGCGCACGCAGGCGGUCUGUCAAGUCGGAUGUGAAAUCCCCGGGCUCAACCUGGGAACUGCAUUCGAAACUGGCAGGCUAGAGUCUUGUAGAGGGGGGUAGAAUUCCAGGUGUAGCGGUGAAAUGCGUAGAGAUCUGGAGGAAUACCGGUGGCGAAGGCGGCCCCCUGGACAAAGACUGACGCUCAGGUGCGAAAGCGUGGGAGCAACCAU
rnacentral:rRNA from 1 species